rnacentral:rRNA from 1 species
AGAGUUUGAUCCUGGCUCAGAGCGAACGUUAGCGGCGCGCCUAACACAUGCAAGUCGCACGAGAAAGGGGGCAACCCCCGGUACAGUGGCGCACGGGUGAGUAACACGUAGAUGACCUUCCCUGGAGUGGUGGAUAACCUGCCGAAAGGCGGGCUAAUACAGCAUGGGACCACAUGGUUUUGACCGAGUGGUGAAAGCGGGCCUCUGUACACAAGCUCGCGCUCUGGGAUGGGUCUGCGGCCCAUCAGCUAGUUGGUGAGGUAACGGCUCACCAAGGCAACGACGGGUAGCUGGUCUGAGAGGAUGACCAGCCACACUGGAACUGAGACACGGUCCAGACUCCUACGGGAGGCAGCAGUGGGGAAUCUUGCGCAAUGGGCGAAAGCCUGACGCAGCGACGCCGCGUGGGUGAUGAAGGCCCUCGGGUUGUAAAGCCCUGUGGGGAGGAACGAACCGCUCGGGGGUGAAUAUCCUCCGAGCUUGACGGUACCUCCUUAGCAAGCAUCGGCUAACUCUGUGCCAGCAGCCGCGGUAAGACAGAGGAUGCGAACGUUGCUCGGAAUUACUGGGCGUAAAGCGCGCGCAGGUUGCCCUGUAAGUCGUGUGUGAAAUCCCUCUGCUCAACGGAGGAAGUGCACGGGAUACUGCAGGGCUGGAGUACAGAAGAGGACAGCGGAAUUCCCGGUGUAGAGGUGAAAUUCGUAGAUAUCGGAGGAACACCAGUGGCGAACGCGGCUGUCUGGGCUGAUACUGACACUGAGCGCGAAAGCGUGGGAAGCAACAGGAUUAGAUACCCUGGUAGUCCACGCUGUAACGAUGACGACUGAGUGUUUGGCGGGUAUGACCCCCGCGUGCGAGCUAUGCGUUAGUCGUCGGCCUGGGAAGUUACGACCGCAAGGCCUAAAACCUCUCAAGAAUUGACGGGGGCCCGCACAAGCGGUGGAGCAUGUGGUUUAAUUCGACGCAACGCGAAGAACCUUACCCGGGCUCGAAAAUGCAGGGAGUCUGCUGAAAGGCGGAUGUGCUCGCAAGAGAACCUGUAUCAGGUGCUGCAUGGCUGUCGUCAGCUCGUGUCGUGAGAUGUUGGGUUAAGUCCCGCAACGAGCGCAACCCACGUCCUUAGUUGCCAGCAUUAAGUUGGGGACUCUAGGGAGACUGCCGGUGACAAACCGGAGGAAGGUGUGGAUGACGUCAAGUCAUCAUGCCCCUUACGUCCAGGGCUACACACGUGCUACAAUGGCCGGUACAGAGCGUUGCCAACUCGCGAGAGUGCGCUAAUCGCCAAAAGCCGGUCUAAGUUCGGAUUGUAGUCUGCAACUCGACUACAUGAAGCUGGAAUCGCUAGUAAUCGAGGAUCAGCUACGCCUCGGUGAAUACGUUCCCGGGUCUUGUACACACCGCCCGU